AGUGAACGCUGGCGGUAGGCCUAACACAUGCAAGUCGAACGGCAGCACAGUAAGAGUUUGCUCUUACGGGUUGCGAGUGGCGGACGGGUGGGGAAUACAUCGGAAUCUACUUUUUCGUGGGGGUUAACGUAGGGAAACUUACUCUAAUACCGCAUAACACCCUGGAGUGUGAGUAUGGGAUCUUCGGACCUGGCGCGAGUGAAUGACCCGAUGUCGGAUGAGUUAGUUGGCGGGGUAAAUGCCCACCGAGGCGACGAUCCGUAGCUCGACUGAGAGAAUGAUCAGCCACACGGGAACUGGGACGCCGACCCGACGCCUGCGAGAGGCAGCAGUGGGAAAUAUUGGGCAAUAGGGGCAAACCUGAUACAACCAUACCACGUGGGAGGAGAAAACCUUGGGGUUGUAAAGCCCUUUUUUUGGGAGAGAAAAGCAGCAGGUUAAUACCACGCUGUUGUGACGGUACCCAAAAAAUAAGCACCGGCUAACUACGUG
rnacentral:rRNA from 1 species